rnacentral:rRNA from 1 species
GAUGAACGCUGGCGGCGUGCUUAACGCAUGCAAGUCGAACGAAGCACUUUAUUUGAUUUCCUUCGGGACUGAUUAUUUUGUGACUGAGUGGCGGACGGGUGAGUAACGCGUGGGUAACCUGCCUUGUACAGGGGGAUAACAGUUGGAAACGGCUGCUAAUACCGCAUAAGCGCACAGCAUCGCAUGAUGCAGUGUGAAAAACUCCGGUGGUAUAAGAUGGACCCGCGUUGGAUUAGCUAGUUGGUGAGGUAACGGCCCACCAAGGCGACGAUCCAUAGCCGACCUGAGAGGGUGACCGGCGACAUUGGGACUGAGACACGGCCCAAACUCCUACGGGAGGCAGCAGUGGGGAAUAUUGCACAAUGGGCGAAAGCCUGAUGCAGCGACGCCGCGUGAGCGAAGAAGUAUUUCGGUAUGUAAAGCUCUAUCAGCAGGGAAGAUAAUGACGGUACCUGACUAAGAAGCACCGGCUAAAUACGUG